rnacentral:rRNA from 1 species
GCCUGCGGAGGGAUCAUUACCGAGUUUACAACUCCCAAACCCAAUGUGAACGUUACCAAACUGUUGCCUCGGCGGGGUCACGCCCCGGGUGCGUCGCAGCCCCGGAACCAGGCGCCCGCCGGAGGAACCAACCAAACUCUUUCUGUAGUCCCCUCGCGGACGUAUUUCUUACAGCUCUGAGCAAAAAUUCAAAAUGAAUCAAAACUUUCAACAACGGAUCUCUUGGUUCUGGCAUCGAUGAAGAACGCAGCGAAAUGCGAUAAGUAAUGUGAAUUGCAGAAUUCAGUGAAUCAUCGAAUCUUUGAACGCACAUUGCGCCCGCCAGUAUUCUGGCGGGCAUGCCUGUCCGAGCGUCAUUUCAACCCUCGAACCCCUCCGGGGGAUCGGCGUUGGGGAUCGGGACCCCUCACACGGGUGCCGGCCCCGAAAUACAGUGGCGGUCUCGCCGCAGCCUCUCCUGCGCAGUAGUUUGCACAACUCGCACCGGGAGCGCGGCGCGUCCACGUCCGUAAAACACCCAACUUUCUGAAAUGUUGACCUCGGAUCAGGUAGGAAUACCCGCUGAACUUAAGCAUAUCAAUAGCCCGGAGGAAA